rnacentral:rRNA from 1 species
UACAGAGGGGGCAAGCGUUGUUCGGAAUUACUGGGCGUAAAGGGCUCGUAGGCGGCCAACUAAGUCAGACGUGAAAUCCCUCAGCUUAACUGGGGAACUGCGUCUGAUACUGGAUGGCUUGGAUCCGGGAGAGGGAUGCGGAAUUCCAGGUGUAGCGGUGAAAUGCGUAGAUAUCUGGAGGAACACCGGUGGCGAAGGCGGCAUCCUGGACCGGUAUUGACGCUGAGGAGCGAAAGCCAGGGGAGCAAACGGG